UACGUAGGGGGCAAGCGUUGUCCGGAUUUAUUGGGCGUAAAGAGCGUGUAGGCGGCUUUACAGGUCCGUUGUGAAAACUCGAGGCUCAACCUCGAGACGCCGGUGGAAACCGUAAAGCUAGAGUCCGGAAGAGGAGAGUGGAAUUCCUGGUGUAGCGGUGAAAUGCGCAGAUAUCAGGAGGAACACCCGUGGCGAAAGCGGCUCUCUGGGACGGUACUGACGCUGAGACGCGAAAGCGUGGGGAGCAAACAGG
rnacentral:rRNA from 1 species